rnacentral:rRNA from 1 species
AUUGAACGCUGGCGGCAGGCCUAACACAUGCAAGUCGAACGGUAACAGGAAGAAGCUUGCUUCUUUGCUGACGAGUGGCGGACGGGUGAGUAAUGUCUGGGAAACUGCCUGAUGGAGGGGGAUAACUACUGGAAACGGUAGCUAAUACCGCAUAAUGUCGCAAGACCAAAGAGGGGGACCUUCGGGCCUCUUGCCAUCGGAUGUGCCCAGAUGGGAUUAGCUAGUAGGUGGGGUAACGGCUCACCUAGGCGACGAUCCCUAGCUGGUCUGAGAGGAUGACCAGCCACACUGGAACUGAGACACGGUCCAGACUCCUACGGGAGGCAGCAGUGGGGAAUAUUGCACAAUUGGCGCAAGCCUGAUGCAGCUAUGCCGCGUGUAUGAAGAAGGCCUUCGGGUUGUAAAGUACUUUCAGCGGGGAGGAAGGGAGUAAAGUUAAUACCUUUGCUCAUUGACGUUACCCGCAGAAGAAGCACCGGCUAACUCCGUG